CACGUAUGGGGCGAGCGUUGUUCGGAAUUACUGGGCAUAAAGGGCGUGUAGGCGGUUUCGCAAGCCUGGCGUGAAAGGUGCCGGCUCAACCGGUAGAGUGCGCUGGGAACUGCGGGACUGGAGUCUUGGAGGGGGAGCUGGAAUUCCAGGUGUAGGGGUAAAAUCUGUAGAGAUCUGGAAGAACACCGGUGGCGAAGGCGAGCUCCUGGCCGAUGACUGACGCUGAGGCGCGAAAGCGUGGGGAGCAAACAGG
rnacentral:rRNA from 1 species